GCCCUGGUUGCAGAACCAUUAAGCACUUGGCUGCUAAUCAAAAGGCUGGUGGUUCAAGCCCACCCAGGGACU
rnacentral:tRNA from 1 species